UGAGGAAUAUUGGUCAUUGGGCGCGAGCCUGAACCAGCCAAGUCGCGUGAAGGAUGACUGUCUUAUGGAUUGUAAACUUCUUUUGUAGGGGAAUAAAGAGGGGCACGUGUGCCUCAGUGAAUGUACCCUACGAAUAAGCAUCGGCUAACUCCGUGCCAGCAGCCGCGGUAAUACGGAGGAUGCGAGCGUUAUCCGGAUUUAUUGGGUUUAAAGGGUGCGUAGGCGGCCUGUUAAGUCAGCGGUGAAAUCUAGGGGCUUAACUCCUAAAUUGCCAUUGAUACUGGUGGGCUUGAGUGUAGAUGAGGUAGGCGGAAUGCGUGGUGUAGCGGUGGAAUGCAUAGAUAUCACGCAGAACUCCAAUUGCGAAGGCAGCUUACUAAGGUACAACUGACGCUGAAGCACGAAAGCGUGGGUAUCAAACAGGAUUAGAUACCCUGGUAGUCCACGCAGUAAACGAUGAUAACUGGGCGUAUGCGAUAUACAGUAUGCUCCUAAGCGAAAGCGUUAAGUUAUCCACCUGGGGAGUACGCCGGCAACGGUG
rnacentral:rRNA from 1 species